rnacentral:rRNA from 1 species
UACGUAGGGGGCAAGCGUUGUCCGGAUUUAUUGGGCGUAAAGAGCGUGUAGGCGGCCAUACAGGUCAGCUGUGAAAACUCGAGGCUCAACCUCGAGACGCCGGUUGAAACCAUCUGGCUAGAGUCCGGAAGAGGAGAGUGGAAUUCCUGGUGUAGCGGUGAAAUGCGCAGAUAUCAGGAAGAACACCCGUGGCUAAGGCGGCUCUCUAGUACGGUACUGACGCUGAGACGCGAAAGCGUGGGGAGCGAACAGG